AUUGAACGCUGGCGGCAUGCCUUACACAUGCAAGUCGAACGGCAGCACGGGAGCAAUCCUGGUGGCGAGUGGCGAACGGGUGAGUAAUACAUCGGAACGUGCCCAAUCGUGGGGGAUAACUACGCGAAGACGUAGCUAAUACCGCAUACGAUCUACGGAUGAAAGACAGGGGAGUCGCAAGACCUUGCGCGAAUGGAGCGGCCGAUGGCAGAUUAGGAGUUGGUGAGGUAAAGGCUCACCAAGCCUUCCGAUCUGUAGCUGGUCUGAGAGGACGACCAGCCACACUG
rnacentral:rRNA from 1 species